rnacentral:rRNA from 1 species
AUUGAACGCUGGCGGCAGGCCUAACACAUGCAAGUCGAACGGUAACAGGAAUAAGCUUGCUUCUUUGCUGACGAGUGGCGGACGGGUGAGUAAUGUCUGGGAAACUGCCUGAUGGAGGGGGAUAACUACUGGAAACGGUAGCUAAUACCGCAUAACGUCGCAAGACCAAAGAGGGGGACCUUCGUGCCUCUUGCCAUCGGAUGUGCCCAGAUGGGAUUAGCUAGUAGGUGGGGUAACGGCUCACCUAGGCGACGAUCCCUCGCUGGUCUGAGAGGAUGACCAGCCACACUGGAACUGAGACACGGUCCAGACUCCUACGGGAGGCAGCAGUGGGGAAUAUUGCACAAUGGGCGCAAGCCUGAUGCAGCCAUGCCGCGUGUAUGAAGAAGGCCUUCGGGUUGUAAAGUACUUUCAGCGGGGAGGAAGGGAGUAAAGUUAAUACCUUUGCUCAUUGACGUUACCCGCAGAAGAAGCACCGGCUAACUCCGU